rnacentral:lncRNA from 1 species
AUUUGCUUAAAAAACUAGAGGCUCUAAAGAGCCUGUGUCGCUCACCUUGGUCUAUGUGAAUAUUAAACAAAGGAAGCAGAUGGAUUCAUGACAAAAUUGUGUUUUGGUGAUGGUGAUGUGUUUGUACGUCUUACUUUACUGAACAUUCUUGCUGCUUACAGUUAUCUCUAUCUAUAAUGAACUUGGCCCAGUAGUUUCAGUGGAAAAUGUUAGUAAAAAUUUACAAAUUUUAUAAAAAUUG